UACGAGGGGAGCAAGCGUUGUUCGGAUUUACUGGGCGUAAGGGCGCGUAGGCGGUCGUGACAAGUCACUUGUGAAAUCUCCGGGCUUAACUCGGAACGGUCAAGUGAUACUGUCCGGACUAGAGGUACAGAAGGGGCAACUGGAAUUCUCGGUGUAGCGGUGAAAUGCGUAGAUAUCGAGAGGAACACCUGCGGCGAAGGCGGGUUGCUGGGCUGAUACUGACGCUGAUGCGCGAAAGCCAGGGGAGCGAACGGG
rnacentral:rRNA from 1 species